rnacentral:rRNA from 1 species
UCUAAUACCGGAUAUGAGCUUCCGCCGCAUGGCGGGGCUGUAAAGCUCCGGCGGUGCAGGAUGAGCCCGCGGCCUAUCAGCUUGUUGGUGAGGUAACGGCUCACCAAGGCGACGACGGG